ACAAUGAAGUCACAGUUGGGCUAGCAAAUUCAGUUGUGAUGUCUGGCCAGACAUAUCGAGUGACCAAUUGCGCCGCAGCCCGGCCAGUUACAGCAUCGGGUUACUAUGGUUACGACGCACAUGCAGGUCGUGCUGUGCAUGAUGCCAGUCACUGGAGCCGGAAGAGGGGACGGACUACAUGCGGCCGGGCAGGCGUGAACGGGCACUGGCGGGUUUUCUUCAUCUUUAUAAGGCAGAUGUUACAGCAUCAGUAUUUGCAAGAAAUCACAGAAAAGUAGCCCUCCAGACAACUUUCCUCAGCAGUCUACCUACUUGGAUAGUGUAACCCACCUACUCUACGCUAAAUAAACACACAG